GACGAAGGUGGCAACCGUUGUUCGGAAUUACUGGGCAUAAAGCGCGCGUAGGCGGCGGCGUAAGUCGGAUGUGAAAUCCCUCGGCCCAACCGAGGAACUGCGUCCGAAACUGCGUCGCUUGAGGGCAGCAGGGGAGCGUGGAAUUCCUGGUGGAGCGGUGAAAUGCGUUGAUAUCAGGAGGAACACCGGCGGCGAAGGCGACGCUCUGGGCUGCUUCUGACGCUGAGGUGCGAAAGCCAGGGGAGCAAACGGG
rnacentral:misc_RNA from 1 species